rnacentral:rRNA from 1 species
UACGUAGGGGGCAAGCGUUGUCCGGAUUUAUUGGGCGUAAAGAGCGUGUAGGCGCCAGACAGGUCCGUUGUGAAAACUCGAGGCUCAACCUCGAGACGCCGAUGGAAACCGUCUGGCUAGAGUCCGGAAGAGGAGAGUGGAAUUCCCGGUGUAGCGGUGGAAUGCGCAGAUAUCAGGAAGAACACCAACGGCGAAGGCAGCUCGCUGGGACGGUACUGACGCUGAGACGCGAAAGCGUGGGGAGCGAACAGG